rnacentral:rRNA from 1 species
UACGGAGGGGGCUAGCGUUGUUCGGAAUUACUGGGCGUAAAGCGCACGUAGGCGGCUUUGCAAGUCAGAGGUGAAAGCCCGGGGCUCAACCCCGGAAUUGCCUUUGAGACUGCAUCGCUAGAAUUGUGGAGAGGUAAGUGGAAUUCCGAGUGUAGAGGUGAAAUUCGUAGAUAGUUCGGAAGAACACCAGUGGCGAAGGCGACUUACUGGACACAUAUUGACGCUGAGGUGCGAAAGCGUGGGGAGCAACAG